rnacentral:lncRNA from 1 species
UUAAAGCUGUCACUAGAAUCAAAAUAGAUUUAUAUCUCGAUGUUAUGGUAAAUCCAUGAUUACAAGUUUACUCGUGUAAUAUGCUGAAAGCGACCUUUGUGCAAACCAUCACUUCCUUCCAUUUUCCCUGGAAGUAGAUAGAUGAAUUACAAAUUCCUAUUAAUUUCUGAAAUAUAUCAUUGGACCAUGAGGUUACAACGAGUGUUAAUUUCAAACCCUGAAGAAAAAAUUGUUCAGACUUUUCACACAUAUAGACUGAAUUAUGUAACAAAUCCAGAACAACCAAAAGAAGAAUUAAUGAAUAUAAGCCCUCAUGCUUGGCAGAUGUCAGAGUUCUUCCUAUGUUGAAGGACUUAAGUUGCUGAAGUAGUGAAGUUGACGAUUCCUACAACUAAACAUGAUUUUCAAGUUUCAACCUCCACCUGCAGGUCUUCGCCCUAUGGAGAGAUACUUGAGCACAUUCCAAAAAUAUUUGAAUUUAGUCCUGUUUCGGAGAUGACCUUGUCAAUAUAAAUCCAAACCCAUGAUGGAUGGUGGCUUAAACUUGUAGAACUGGAAAACUAUUAUGGCUCUCCAUUUGCUGUGGAACCAUCUCCCUUUUACCUGAACUCACAAUCAUGACGAGUUUCUUACAACAAAGCUUUGAGAGCUUUCACAACAAGCAAGAAGGUCUCAACUAGCACCAGCUGAGGCUGAGAAACAAAGAAAAAAGAAAGUAAGCACCUCGUUAAAAGUAAAUCAAAAGUUUAAGAAGUAUAUAAAGGGAACUUGAAAAGGUUGGAUUUCACUGACCUCUCUAUACUCCAGCAAAGCUGUGGCUGGUUUAAACAAUGUCAUCCAGCAGCGUAGUCAACUAGUCAAGCACUUCCAAUUGCUUUUACUCGACAAAUUUGAUGUUAAACAGUAAUAACAACAUCUGAUUUGCCGUUUAUCAUCUUAGUACAUCUCCAUAUAAUUUCAGUACUUGAAAAGUCUUCUGUAUCGACUGAGUAUAGUGGGACUAAAAAUGACGUCAGUACUGUGAAGUAUUUUGGCUUUGUCACCGUAUAAACCAAUCUUCAAAUCAACCAAACAAAAUAAUGUAAGAAGAGAAAAAAAAAUAAAAAAAUUUAGUGUCUGGAUCAGCUAAUGAAAGCAAG